UAAGACGAAUUAGCCUGCCAAACUUUAAUAU
rnacentral:piRNA from 1 species